rnacentral:rRNA from 1 species
AUUGAACGCUGGCGGCAUGCUUUACACAUGCAAGUCGAACGGCAGCACGGGCUUCGGCCUGGUGGCGAGUGGCGAACGGGUGAGUAAUAUAUCGGAACGUACCCAAGAGUGGGGGAUAACGUAGCGAAAGUUACGCUAAUACCGCAUACGAUCUAUGGAUGAAAGCGGGGGAUCGCAAGACCUCGUGCUCCUGGAGCGGCCGAUAUCUGAUUAGCUAGUUGGGGAGGUAAAGGCUCACCAAGGCGACGAUCAGUAGCUGGUCUGAGAGGACGACCAGCCGCACUGGAAAUGAGACACGGUCCAGACUCCUACGGGAGGCAGCAGUGGGGAAUUUUGGACAAUGGGCGCAAGCCUGAUCCAGCAAUGCCGCGUGAGUGAAGAAGGCCUUCGGGUUGUAAAGCUCUUUUGUCAGGGAAGAAACGGUAGGGGCUAAUAUCCCUUGCUAAUGACGGUACCUGAAGAAUAAGCACCGGCUAACUACGUGCCAGCAGCCGCCGUAACAC